rnacentral:rRNA from 1 species
AAACCAGCACCUCAAGUGGUCAGGAUGAUUAUUGGGCCUAAAGCAUCCGUAGCCUGCUCUGUAAGUUUUCGGUUAAAUCUGUACGCUCAACGUACAGGCUGCCGGGAAUACUGCAAAGCUAGGGAGUGGGAGAGGUAGACGGUACUCGGGAGGAAGUGGUAAAAUGCUUUGAUCUCUCGAUGACCACCUGUGGCGAAGGCGGUCUACCAGAACACGUCCGACGGUGAGGGAUGAAAGCUGGGGGAGCAAACCGGAUUAGAAACCCCGGUAGUCC